rnacentral:lncRNA from 1 species
GGGGUCCAAGGUCAGGACUCCAGCUCUGCAGGCAUCCAGGAACUACUUAAGAUACAGGGGUUCUGUUUGUGAGGCUGAGGCUGUCGGGCCUGGGCACAGUGUGGCCUGGGCCUUGGGGCAUGGCGGGGAGAAGGCCUGGUCCUGGGGUGGAUAAGUGGCCUGGAGCAGGGGUCUGGGUGUGGAAGCCAGGACCUGAAGGCCCAGCUGUAACGGAGGUUACAAAGCUGUGUUAUGGAAGGCCCCAGGAGUUGGGUAGGUUUCCUGGUUGAGAAGCUUGGAGGGGCCUGUUUGCAAAACAUCUGGAGGAUGUGUGUCGCUGUCCAGUCAAGCUGGAAAGCAUCCCACGUGGCUCAUGGGUCGGGGCGUAGCAGCACUGACCACAGGGGAGACACAGGGACACCCAGACUCUGUCCUUGCGGUGACAAGAGAAUUGUCUUCAGGAAAAGAACACCAGAAGCUCACACACACCAGAUUCUUAAUGGGCCAGCAUGGUUCAGGAAGGUGUUGAGUCUUGAUGGACCCAAGAGCCAGGACUCUGGCAGGAGAACGGAAUCCCUGAUGGAUUCAGACAGAGCAGUAGGAUCCUGCUGGGAGUGGGUUUGCCUGGGUACCAAAGCAAACUUUUAACCAAGUAGGUCCCUGGGCCUCUGCUUGACCCCACUGACCCCAUGUGGCAGAAGGUAAGAGCUCAGGCCCUGGAGUCACACUGAUCUGAGUUCAAUUCCUCAUUCUACCACUCACCAUGCUGUAAGACCUUGGACAAGUUACUUCAUCCCUCUGAACCUCAGUUUCUUCAUUUACAAAAUGGGUGUAGCACUAUUUACCUCACAAAAGUGUUGAGGAGUAGUCCAUCUUGAGAAGGCUCUGACAGUUGGGUCAUGGAGAAGACCAGUAACCAGUGAUAACUGUGGCAGGAGGGGUCUGGGUGGGUAGACACUGACGGUUCUGCAUCUAGGAGGCUCUAGAGAGCAGAAUAUUCACUGCAUUCCCUCCAUGCUCCCCCCCUAAACACACAGGCUGGGAUGUCAGAGCUGGAAGGACCUCAGAGACCACUCAAGGUGGUCAACCAGCUUCUCAGAGGCCAGGCCGUGACUGGAGUCAUGCCCUCCUGGCUUGGUAGGACUCAUUCUGCCAAAUACUCCAGUGAUUAGAGCAUGGCCAUCAGCUCUAGAGUCCACCAAGUCUGCAUUCAAAUCCCUAGCUCUACCACUCAGUCACCUUGCCUCUCUAAUCCUGUUCUUUCAUCCCUAAAAUGAGGAUAAUACUGAUCCACACCUUGGAGUUGUGCUGGCCAAUAUGGUGGCCACUUACUAUGUGUAGCAUUUAACUAUAAUUAAAAUUAAAUAAAAUUAAAAUGAAUAAAGUUCACGUUCUCAGUUGCACUGGCUGUGUUUCAGAUGCUCAAUAGCUGCAUGUGGCUGGUGACCACUGUAUUGGACAAUGCAGACAUAGAAUAUUUCCAUCACUGCAGGAAGUUCUGUGGGGUUGAAGAUGAGAUUGCUGACCUGCUACUGGUCUCAUUCUUCCACAUGGACCAAGGAGCAGAGGAAGCCAGUCUGCAAUAUGGAGAAGAAUGAAGCAGAUGCAGUCAUGGCUUCUGAGAGCAAGGCUGGGAGUGGCUGCCUGGAUCCCGGAAGGCUGUCACUUUCUGCAUGUACUUCCUGUUCUUGGGUUCUGUGAGACACCCUCUAGCUUCUGCAUAUACAUUUUAAGUGACUAUUUCUAAAGUUGGGAAAUUAAGAGUAGCUGCUGAUUCUAAAGAGAAGCUACAUGAAUUUGGAACUUUUGUGCAUUACCAGUGAGUUUACUGGAGGUAAUCAAGCUGGACCUCACUUGGAGAUGUCAUAAAGAAAUGCCAACACUUGGUGAGCAGACGCUUAAGUAAAGAAGGAAGCCAUAGGAGUGGGUAAGAUCUCCCAGAGAGAAAGUGUGGAGAGAAGUCACAGGAACCUUGCAGAACAACCACAUUUAGAGAUUAAUUGGAAGGUGUAAGGGCAAAGAGUGAGUGAUUUACCAGAGAAUUGGGGAAGCUAGGAUGCUAGUGUCCAAAGAUUCCAAGGGAAGAGCAAAUUCAAGGAUCUUAACACACAAGGAAACACCGGUGACUUUGGGCAGGCUUUGGGGUUGGUUGAGUGAGAAGCUCGAUGAUGUCACUUAGAACCCAGGUUCUUUCUACUUCUCUGCUCUGCUGCACUUGGCACUAGCUUCAUCUAAGGGUUGACUCCUCCCUUGGUUGAGAAAUAACUGCCAGUAAUGGGCAUGGUGGAAGAAAGAUAGGGAAUGUUCUCCCAGCCAUGGACUCUAAACUUUGCUCUUCAAUCUGAUUGGACCACUUCAGAUCAUGUGCACAUCUCUAGGCCAGUAAGGUUCACCAGAUAAACGCCAUUUACUGACCGGCUUAGACAAGUGAGGAGCUACUCCUUAAACUGGAGGUGGGAUCAGCAUCCCCUGAAGUAUAGAGGAUUGUGCUCCACCUGAACAUGCUCAGGGUUCUGUUGGAGAGGAAGAAAGGGGAUUGGAAUCAUCAGAGGCAAUGAACAGUCCCCCACAUGUGGCCCACAAGGCCUGCAUGAGCUGGUCCUGCCUCACCCAGUUCUUGCUGUCUGUGUUUUGUAAAGUUCUUAGAAUGGAGUAGGUUUCUUUCGCCCUCAGACCUUCUCAUACACUGAUCCUUCUGUGGGGAAUAGUCUCCAUGAUAUUUGUUGCCUAAUUCUUGUUCUUAUAUUGUCUCACUCAAAUGUCAUUCUUUGAAGAGAACUUUCCAAUCCUCCUAAACUAAAUUGGGUUCCCCUGCCCCCACCUCCCACUCGUGUCCCUAUUGGAAUCUAAUUUCAAGUUGUAAUUAUGUUUCUAUUGUGUUCAUUUGUAGCUCUAUGGGGCAGGCGCCAUGUUUGUUCUGCUCACCAAGGAAUCCUCAGAGGUUGGCGCACAGCAGAUGCUCAAGAAAUAUCUGUUGUGGGUGCUCCUAGUUGUGGCAUGUGGGACACCACCUCAACGUGGACUGACGAGUGGUGCCAUGUCCACACCCAGGAUCUGAACCAGCGAAACCCUACGCCAUCGAAGUGGAGCGUGUGAACUUAACUACUCGGCCACGGGGCUGGCUCCUCAAUCAACAAAUUUAAUGCCACUCUAGUCAAUAUCCUGAUGGGAUAAAAAGCAGAAGGAGGAAGAAGAGAAGGAGAAAGAGAAGAAUGAGAAGAGUAAUAAGAUCAGAGUGGUAUUUCAGGAAGACAUGCUUUUCUUAAACCAGAGGCCAACAAAAGUGACCCGUGGAAUCUGAGGAUGGUGGGACAGUCUGGGGCCGGGAGGGAAAAGAAACCAAAUGAAUGUCGCUCUUGAUCGAGGUAGAGAUGGGGUAUGGCACACAGAGUGUGGAGUUGAAGGCUGUGCAUCCCUCCUAGCUCUUCCACUCUUCCUGGGUGACCCGGAGCAAGCCAUCUAACCUCUCAGCAUCUCAGACUCCUCAUCUUCAACAAAGGGGAAGUGGGGCUAGAUUAUCUCUGGAACCCUGGAGGCCCACAAUAUCCAACAAUUCAGUUAAUUGAAAUGUAUUGUAAAAGCGCAGAUGGGUAUGAAUUUGGGGUGACUUUUGGGUGGUGGUGGCUAGCAGUAGGAAGCAGCGGUACCAGGUGAGACAACUCAGACCAUGCACAGCUCUAAUAUGGGGAAAUGAAGUAAUGGCACUAGCCCGCAUGUAUCAAGUACUUGUGUCAUUUACUCUACUAAACAGUUUACAUACAUUAUCUCAUUUAAUUCUCACAACAGCCCUGUGAGGUAGGCUCCAAUAUAUCACACAAUUAUGAGGAAACUGAGGCACAGAGAGGGUAAGUAAUCUACCCAAGAAACAUUGCCAGUAAAUAGGAAAGCCAGAAUCAACCCCAGAUCUAUUUCAAUUUCAAACCCUUAACCACUGUACGACAAGCAAGGGUGUAUAGAAUAACUAUUAAAGUCUUGUAUUUUAUCUUUCAAUUAAAAUUCAGAAACAUUCAUUGAAUAUCUAUCCGACACAGGAACCAGCUUGAAGAGGGUCCCAAUGGCUAAAUCUGGGACAAAUUCAGCACCCAAAUGAAGUACAGUGAUGAAUUAUAAACCACUGAAAAAAACAGGAUUCAUGAGUCCCCUUACCGAUAAUAGAUAGAUAAAUAAAUAAGCAGAAUACCAAGGGUUGGCUGGUAAACGUGGAGGGACUGCUGGAGCUGGAAAAUCAUCAUUUGGUUAUCAGCAGAGUAGAAAGGGUUCAGGCAGGAACCAUCAACGGAUGCUAAAUCUAAGGGGGAAAUGUUAACGAGCAAGAUAUUUGUAUGGUCUCAACGUAUCUUUCCAGAGACUGCUUAUUAAUUCAAGGGAGAAAAAAAAAUUGUACAGUGGAGAAAUUGAGCAACACCUUGAUGGAGGAGAAAAAUUUACAUUACCAGUAAGGUCAUUGUAUGCCUCCAGCUGUGAUACCCUUAGAAGGACAAAAUGUUAAUUUCGCAAUAUCCCAGCCAAGAAUGCAUAAACAAAACAUCAAACAAAUGCAAUC